rnacentral:tRNA from 1 species
GCCGCCGUAGCUCAGCAGGUUGGAGCGCCGGACUCAUACGGCCCUCGCGCCGAGGUCGGGGCUGGGGAAAUCCGGAGGUCCCGGGUUCAAACCCCGGCGGCGGCA